rnacentral:tRNA from 1 species
GCCGAAGUGGCGGAAUUGGCAGACGCACUUGACUCAAAAUCAAGCGGGCUUUGCUCGUGCCGGUUCGAGUCCGGCCUUCGGCACCA